GAAUUUUUUCUUUGUUAGGUGUCAUGGUACUUUAGUUUGGUUUUGUUUUCAUUUUUAAAAGAAUGGGUCUUAUCUAGAGCUAGCCUUUUUAAAACAAGACCAGGAGCUAGAGAAAGGGUGUGGAGAUCUAUUUGUAGCCUUCUAAGAGCAUAACCCUAACUUUCCAGGAAGAGUAGCCUUCUGCCUGCCCAUGCUGUUGAAAAAUCCAACAGAGCUCCACAGCCUUUCUCACUCAGGAGACAAGCCAGCCCCUCCUGCUAAGAGGUAUUUGCAUCUCCAUGUAAAUGUUCAUCAGUGUCAUCAAAAGCCUAAGAGACUUUAAUCAGAUGAACAUGAAUUCAAUUGAUCAGGUUUUCUGCCUGUCAUGUUUUAAGUUUUUGGAGUACCAGGAGGCUGAGUCUCAUCUUCCAUGACUCCGAGUACAACCAGACCCACAUUCAUCUGCAUAAAAGUAGCUGUCAGCUACACAAGGAGGUCGAAACAAGAGAGGGAAUUGCUGGACAAAGGCAAGGAGCCAUGGGAAGUCACAUGUCAAAGCCAAAGGUGAUGAAUGGAAACCUCAAAGCCUCACGGUGAUAAGGCCAAUUUCCCUUGUCAUCAUGGUCACUGUGUUCUACAAGCAGAGUCGGCUCCAAGACCAUCAGAACUUGAACAUU
ensembl:lincRNA Gm12065 predicted gene 12065